rnacentral:rRNA from 1 species
GAAAGGCGGGCUAAACCCGCGUACAUGCCACCGGGGCAUCCCGGAGGCAGGAAAGGCUUCGGCCGGACAGGGAUGGGCAUGCGGCGCAUUAGGCAGUAGGCGGGGUAACGGCCCACCUAACCGACGAUGCGUAGGGGUUCUGAGAGGAAGGUCCCCCACACUGGUACUGAGACACGGACCAGACUCCUACGGGAGGCAGCAGUGAGGAAUAUUGGUCAAUGGUCGGGAGACUGAACCAGCCAAGCCGCGUGAGGGAUGAAGGUACAGAGUAUCGUAAACCUCUUUUGUCAGGGAACAAAGGCGGGGACGUGUCCCCGGAUGAGUGCACCUGAAGAAAAAGCAUCGGCUAACUCCGUGCCAGCAGCCGCGGUAAUACGGAGGAUGCGAGCGUUAUCCGGAUUUAUUGGGUUUAAAGGGUGCGCAGGCGGUCUGUUAAGUCAGCGGUCAAAGCCCGGGGCUCAACCCCGGCCCGCCGUUGAAACUGGCAGUCUCGAGUUGGAGAGAAGUAUGCGGAAUGCGCGGUGUAGCGGUGAAAUGCAUAGAUAUCGCGCAGAACUCCGAUUGCGAAGGCAGCAUGCCGGCUCCACACUGACGCUGAGGCACGAAAGCGUGGGUAUCGAACAGGAUUAGAUACCCUGGUAGUCC